rnacentral:lncRNA from 1 species
CUCAAGCAAGUCGACGAUCCGUCCCACCGACCAGUCUACUAGUCAGUCUGUUGAUCUGACUACCGACCGGGACACCUGCACCUGAUCCCGCUGGAAGGAGCAUCGCCGCCGACCAGACGAGACCAGAGGACGAGGCCAGCGGAGAGACGGACAGCCUAGCACCGACUCGACGCCCUUCGUCUACGUCGGACCCUCUGACCCGACGGGAGGAAACGUCGCGCUCCCAUAAGGACUUGCGCAGUACAGGCGUUGGCAUCGAUGAACUGGAGAGGUCAGAGCCUGCCCUCUGUCCCUGCCACCCAAGUGCCCGCUGAUCGGCCUAAGCCUCCCCAGGACGCCUGUCCACCUCUGGACUCUGCCCUGGUGCCCCGAGGAGCCUGGGCUGCGAGGAACCUCAGCUCCUGAAGAGCUGCUCACACCAGGACACAGACACCUGCCUGCAUAAUUGUCCUGUGGCGCUGUCCCAGUCCCUCUCGGGCCCCCAUUCAGGCGGGUGACUGUGGAGAGAAUGAUCAGAGAGCUGCAGGGCCAGGACAGGGUCCUGAGGCUCAUGGCGGCGGAAGCUAGCAGCCAUUCUUGGGAUGGAGGCCUAGCCUUGCUCUGGGCUCCACAGGCCCUUUCCCUUUCCUCAUUCCCGGCUCUGCUGGAGGCUGAAUCUGGAUCAAGUUGACCGCUCCAGGUUAAUUGGCUUUCUCUCCCUGCCAGCAUGACGGAUCCUGCCUGACAUUUCCCCAGAUAGUUAAUUGAUACCCGAGUAAUUUGUCAUGGAGACCUCGUUAUAUGCCAAGUGGGUCCCCUAAGCCGUUAGCGUCUGUGCCCCAGAAAUAAGAUUGGCAAGUUAAUAAUGGAGCCUUAAUCACACUGUUCCCUGCUGGUUUGGGGAGAGAAUUACUGGGAGACAGGGCGGGGUGCCGGUGGGAGGAGACAAUGGCAUCCUAGGACCUUGUGGAUGAAGCUUCAUGGGACCCCAAAGCCACUGCCCUUUCUGCAGAACCCCAGCCUUAGUUUCCUCACUGAGGUGUAACUUCUUUGGGCAACAGUGCUUUGAUUUCCCACU